UCUUGCGCAAUGGUCGAAAGACUGACGCAGCGACGCCGCGUGCGGGAGGAAGCCCUUCGGGGUGUAAACCGCUGUUACUCGGGACGAACUUCUCGAUUCCUCGAGAUUGACGGUACCGGGGGAGGACGCACCGGCUAACUACGUGCCAGCAGCCGCGGUAAAACGUAGGAGGCAAGCGUUAUCCGGAUUCACUGGGCGUAAAGCGCGUGCAGGUGGCGCGGUAAGUUGGACGUGAAAUCUCCCGGCUCAACUGGGAGAGGUCGUUCAAUACUACCGUGCUUGAGAGCAGAAGAGGAAGAUGGAAUUCCCGGUGUAGUGGUGAAAUGCGUAGAUAUCGGGAGGAACACCAGUGGCGAAGGCGAUCUUCUGGUCUGUUUCUGACACUCAGACGCGACAGCUAGGGUAGUAAAC
rnacentral:rRNA from 1 species